rnacentral:rRNA from 1 species
AUUGAACGCUGGCGGCAGGCCUAACACAUGCAAGUCGAACGGUAACAUAACUAGCUUGCUAGUUGAUGACGAGUGGCGGACGGGUGAGUAAUGCUUGGGAAUUUGCCUUUAGGUGGGGGACAACAGUUGGAAACGACUGCUAAUACCGCAUAAUAGCUACGGCUCAAAGGGGGCUUCGGCUCUCGCCUUUAGAGAAGCCCAAGUGGGAUUAGGUAGUUGGUGAGGUAAAGGCUCACCAAGCCGACGAUCCCUAGCUGGUCUGAGAGGAUGAUCAGCCACACUGGAACUGAGACACGGUCCAGACUCCUACGGGAGGCAGCAGUGGGGAAUAUUGCACAAUGGGCGCAAGCCUGAUGCAGCCAUGCCGCGUGUGUGAAGAAGGCCUUCGGGUUGUAAAGCACUUUCAGCGAGGAGGAAGGUUAAGUAGUUAAUACCUGCUUGAUUUGACGUUACUCGCAGAAGAAGCACCGGCUAACUCCGUGCCAGCAGCCGCGGUAAUACGGAGGGUGCGAGCGUUAAUCGGAAUUACUGGGCGUAAAGCGUACGCAGGCGGCUAAGUAAGUCAGAUGUGAAAGCCCCGGGCUCAACCUGGGAACUGCAUUUGAAACUGCUUAGCUAGAGUGCGACAGAGGGUGGUAGAAUUUCAGGUGUAGCGGUGAAAUGCGUAGAGAUCUGAAGGAAUACCAAUGGCGAAGGCAGCCACCUGGGUCGACACUGACGCUCAUGUACGAAAGCGUGGGUAGCAAACAGG